ACGACGACUCUCGGCAACGGAUAUCUCGGCUCACGCAUCGAUGAAGAACGUAGCAAAAUGCGAUACUUGGUGUGAAUUGCAGAAUCCCGUGAACCAUCGAGUUUUUGAACGCAAGUUGCGCCCGAAGCCUUUUGGCUGAGGGCACGUCUGCCUGGGCGUCACGC
rnacentral:rRNA from 1 species